UACGGAGGAUGCAAGCGUUAUCCGGAAUGAUUGGGCGUAAAGCGUCCGCAGGUGGCUGUGUAAGUCUGCUGUCAAAGAGCGAAGCUCAACUUCGUAAAGGCAGUGGAAACUACAUGGCUAGAGUGCGUUCGGGGCAGAGGGAAUUCCUGGUGUAGCGGUGAAAUGCGUAGAGAUCAGGAAGAACACCGGUGGCGAAAGCGCUCUGCUAGGCCGCAACUGACACUGAGGGUCGAAAGCUAGGGGAGCGAAUGGG
rnacentral:rRNA from 1 species